AAGAAACUUUCAAGCGUAAAAGAACUUUCAAAUGUAAACUUACAUUUUUUUGUGGCAUUUUGAAAUAAUGAAUGAAGAGUGACUAAUAGACAGAUCCUUCGAAUUGGAUAGUCUGUGAUUCAAAAUUAUGGUAAAGUCAAUGAUAAAUUUUUAAGUUUAAUCUACCUCGUCAGUUCAGCAAGAAAAAAAGAUCAUUUAAGAUUUCCCUUUCGAAGGACAAGGUU
rnacentral:lncRNA from 1 species